GUCAUCAUCUUACUCGCACGUGUUUCUUUGUUCUUCCUCGUGCCUGCUACGCAGUUCGUGCGGAUGUUGGAGAAACAACAUAGCUGUACCUUGAGUCAGAAAGUUGAUAACUGAAAUAGAAAGUAAAUAUUGAUAAACAUUGAGACGAUUGAGAAGCUGUGGACAUCGUGUAGAACUCUGUUGAACUAUUGAUUGAUAUUCCGGCUGGUUUUUUUUGUGGAGCCUUCAGAGGACCGUCAUCUGUCCAUAUCUCCAUCCUGGUUGCUUUCCAUCUUCUGCCAGGGGAUCAUCAUUCACAUUGCCAUUCCAUCCUGCAAUACUCUCCCUGGACUGCCUCAUCUGACAUCCAUUGGGGUGGUACACUUUGAAGAUGACCAAUUCACUGACACAAAAAGAAGGGAUGUUGAAGCUGAGGCCCGAUGCAGUCCCAACAGUUUUCAUUCAAAGCCGAAGAGGAAACCCCCUUCUGUGAGGGUGCCUCCAGAACCAAGUGCAACGGACCACACAUGGCACCAAAUUAAACUUCGAGAUUGAGGGAGAAAUUGAGGUGGAUUUCAAGAGCGAUGAAAAGGACAUGACAGGAGACAGAGAGCAAUCAAGAGGCCACUUUGCCAGGGGCAGGUGAUCCAGGGACCAGACUGCCAGACCGCCCAUCAUAAUCAGCAUUGUUGAAGCGGCGGCAUCUGUAGGGCUUCAUGUGCUGAACAUCACCCUUUCCAGGAUAUAAUUAAACAAACACACUGUUAUUUCUACUAGCUAUCGCAUCAUCAAACCCGUCCUUAAAUCAACCUAAAUGAUCCUAGUAAUCCAACAUAAAUAACUAACUAAAUAAAAGUUAGAUUCACUACUGAACUACGUAAUUGUUGGUGUAGAUACCUUCACACGGCGAAGUCGAGCCAACAAACCAGCAGGCAAUCGGUCGUCUACCAAGAUAAAAAUAU
ensembl:lncRNA